UACGUAGGGCGCAAGCGUUAUCCGGAAUUAUUGGGCGUAAAGAGCUCGUAGGCGGUUUGUCGCGUCUGCCGUGAAAGUCCGGGCUCAACUCCGGAUCUGCGGUGGGUACGGGCAGACUAGAGUGAUGUAGGGGAGACUGGAAUUCCUGGUGUAGCGGUGAAAUGCGCAGAUAUCAGGAGGAACACCGGUGGCGAAGGCGGGUCUCUGGGCCGAUACUGACGCUGAGGAGCGAAAGCGUGGGGAGCGAACAGG
rnacentral:rRNA from 1 species